GAUGAACGCUGGCGGCGUGCCUAAUACAUGCAAGUCGAGCGAACAGAUGAGAAGCUUGCUUCUCUGAUGUUAGCGGCGGACGGGUGAGUAACACGUGGGUAACCUACCUAUAAGACUGGGAUAACUCCGGGAAACCGGGGCUAAUACCGGAUAAUAUUUUGAACCGCAUGGUUCAAUAGUGAAAGACGGUUUCGGCUGUCACUUAUAGAUGGACCCGCGCCGUAUUAGCUAGUUGGUAAGGUAACAGCUUACCAAGGCGACGAUACGUAGCCGACCUGAGAGGGUGAUCGGCCAAACUGGAACUGAGACACGGUCCAGACUCCUACGGGAGGCAGCAGUAGGGAAUCUUCCGCAAUGGGCGAAAGCCUGACGGAGCAACGCCGCGUGAGUGAUGAAGGUCUUCGGAUCGUAAAACUCUGUUGUUAGGGAAGAACAAAUUUGUUAGUAACUGAACAAAUCUUGACGGUACCUAACCAGAAAGCCACGGCUAACUACGUGCCAGCCGCCGCAGUAA
rnacentral:rRNA from 1 species